GCAGACACAUUCCAGCCAAUCAGCAGCAGACCCUCCCUCCAGACCCUCCCACCUCCUGGACAGCAUCCAUUUUACAUUCAUUGUGAAGCUGCAUUCGUAGUGAGCUGUCCAGGAGGUGGGAGGGUCUGGGAGGGAGGGUCUGCUGCUGAUUGGCUGGAAUGUGUUUG